rnacentral:rRNA from 1 species
GUGGGGAAUCUUCCGCAAUGGACGAAAGUCUGACGGAGCGACGCCGCGUGAGUGAAGAAGGCCUUCGGGUCGUAAAGCUCUGUCAUCAGGGACGAACGGCCGGUGGAGUGGAAAGCCACCGGAUUGACGGUACCUGAGAAGGAAGCCACGGCUAACUACGUGCCAGCAGCCGCGGUAAUACGUAGGUGGCAAGCGUUGUCCGGAAUUAUUGGGCGUAAAGCGCGCGCAGGUGGGAUCUUAAGUCCAUUUUUAAAGUUCGGAGCUCAACUCCGUGAUGGGAUGGAAACUGGGAGUCUUGAGUACCGGAGAGGAAAGCGGAAUUCCCCGUGUAGCGGUGAAAUGCGUAGAUAUGGGGAGGAACACCAGUGGCGAAGGCGGCUUUCUGGACGGUGUCUGACACUGAGGCGCGAAAGCCAGGGGAGCGAACGGGAUUAGAAACCCUGGUAGUCC